rnacentral:sRNA from 1 species
ACUGGAUUCUUGGACUUUGUAUUGGUAGACAGCCAUUGUUGGAUCAGCUGGACCGCAGCCUGCAAGGGUUAACAAGGUCUUUGGAAUUCUGCUUGUCCACGGCAUGCCGAUAAAUGACUCAAAAGGCAGAGUGCCACUAUCCACUCAUUUCAGAUGGGCUAAGUCCAACUCUCCAACGAGAUGCCUAGGGGUGACUGGAGAAAAUUCCAGGCUGCCAGGACUGUGUAGUGAGGCACUUUCUUACAACAACAACAACAACAACAAUAACAGCAACAACAAUGACAACAGCAGCAUCAACAACAAAACAAUCACCACUACCAACAACAAUGAAAACAAGAGCAAAAGGUAACCAUUUACAACUAUGAUGUAAAUGACUGGUAUGAUGUUGCAUGACUGUGGUCCUAAUAGAAGAUAAGACAGGAGAAUCCAGGUCAGCAUGGACUUCAUGGUAAGAGUUUGUCACAAAAAUCUAAUCCAAAAAAAAAUUAAUAUCACAAAACAACCCCUCUCUGG